CACACCCAUCAGAAUGGCUAAAAUUAAAAAUAAACAAACCAAAACCAAAACAAAACCAAGCCCUGAUCGUGCCAAAUGCUGGCAAGGCUGCGAGCAAUGGGAAUGCUCAUCGCUGCUGAUGGGGUGCAGGAUGGCACAGCCACCCUGGGAGAUGGCCGGGCAGCUUCCGAGAAAGUUAUCAUGCAUUUAUUGUAUUACCCGGUGAUCAGUUCCAGGUAUUUGCCCUAGAGAAAUGUCUGCUCACACAGAAACCUGAACCUGAAUGCCUGUGCUUCACAGCAGCAUUCUUCAUAACUGCCUCAAACUGGAGAUAAAUGCAAAUGUCCUUCCGCUGGUAAAUGGGUAAACAAACGGCGGCGUUCUCGUACAAGGGAGAACUACUCAGCAAUGAAAAGGAACGAACCACUCAUCUAUGCAGGAACGUGGAUGAGUCUCAAAGUCAUGAUGCUGAGUAAAAGAAGGCAGACUCAAAAGGCUACGUGAUGCAUGAUUCCAUAUAGACGACAUUCUGGAAAAGACAAAGCCGUGAGGAAACCCUGGCACAGGGUGGUGGUCUUGCCCAAGACAACAUAGCCAGUAGGUGGCAGAGCUGUGUGAUGGCCUGGACCCACUAACGACCGGGAGAUGCUGCCCCCAGCACCGACUGGAGCCAGACUUGGAAUCAGACCAGCCUCGGUUGGAAUCUGGGCUCAUUACUUGCAGGCUGGGUGACUAUGACAGGUUCUUCAGCCUUGCUUGGUUCUACCUUCCUGCUCUGUAAGACGUGGACACUUGAACUGACGUCAAAGGUCGCUCCAGAAUGAAAUGAGAUGAUGUGUGCUGAGUGCUCACGGCAUAGUAAAAUACUCACUAAUGCUGGUGAUGAUGGAUGUGGGGAGAAAUGGAUGAAUGAAUGACUGUGGUUCACAGGGCCCCAGGGUGCCGGCAGCAGGGCCAGCUCCUGCGGAAGGGAAUUUUCCAGGAGGGAAGGCAAGGAGAGGCAAGGUCUUCCCCUGCCAGGGGUUCGCCAGGCCCUCCAGAGAUGCCCCCACCCUGGCAUCUGCCAGCCUUCCCUCCUCCCCCGGAGCUCCCUCUCCAGGGUCAGGGCACGUGGGCCCCAGAGCCACCAGGCUGCGAGGGGAGCCUCCAGCCUUUUAGAAGUAAGGACCUUUCGCAGUAAAACUUCAAAGCCCUUACAGUCUCCACCACCUAAUGCAGCCCGAGCCUGGAACGCAGUGUCCCCAGGGGAGCGAAUCCAGGGUGAGGUGCUGCCAGGAAAGCUCAGGGGCUCCCUAGGUCACACAGGCCCUUUUGAGCUCCCAGGAGAAGAGUCUAGAGAAUGGCAUCCUCUCAGUGUCCCUGGCUUUCCGGUGGGACCUUGAGUUCUGCCAGGUCUAGGCUCUGCCUACUCCCUGGUCACUGCACGUUCCCACAUCCCCACACUCGUUCGUGGAACAAGCGAACACAUUCCCACUGGAUGCUUCCAGGUAGCAGUUCCCGGCGGCCGCUGGGGCACACAGCCUCUGGGUUCUGGCACUGACGCCUUGUGACCCCGUGGGGUGGCAGGUCAGACCCCCAGGGAAGGAGAGGAGGGCAGGUGAGUCUUCCCUUGUUCCUUCUUUUAUUUUCCCCUUAACACGGGAAAGGCACUCUGGUUCUUGUGAUGAUAGAAGCAUACAUGAUAUUGAAACAAAAACUCAAAUACCACAGAAGCUUAGGGUGUCAGGGCCCAGGCUGGGGCCACUGGAUGUGGCCUGCUGGCCACUGCCACCCCCUGGUGGUCCCUUAUGAAAAAGGAGCCUCACCCACCAGCCAGGGGCCAGACAGGUGCCCCUGCCCUCCCUCCCUCCUCCGUCCUUUCCUUCUGGUCUUCCCCUCCCUUCGCUCUUUCCCUCCUUUCGUCUCCCACGCGCCUCCCCUCUCUGCUCGCCCUAUGGCUCUGCUGCUUGAUGGGAGGAGCUCUGAUCUUAGCGCACCAGCUUAAAACCUGGCUCUGGCAUCCACCAGCUGUGUGACCUUGAGCUGAUGACCAAACCUCUCUGAGACUCAGUGUCCUCACCUGGACAAUGGGGAUUAUUAACUCCUGUGGGUAAAAUGAGACAGUCCGUGUAAAACACCCAGCACAAGCCUGGCUCCAUAGA